UACGGAGGGUGCAAGCGUUAUCCGGAUUCACUGGGUUUAAAGGGUGCGUAGGUGGGCUAGUAAGUCAGUGGUGAAAUCUCCGGGCUUAACCCGGAAACUGCCAUUGAUACUAUUAGUCUUGAAUACUUUGGAGGUAAGCGGAAUAUGUCAUGUAGCGGUGAAAUGCUUAGAUAUGACAUAGAACACCAAUUGCGAAGGCAGCUUACUACACAGUAAUUGACACUGAGGCACGAAAGCGUGGGGAUCAAACAGG
rnacentral:rRNA from 1 species